AGCAAACAAAUACGGCAGACAUGUUGGAUUUGGCAGUGCAACAUAUCAAAUGCCUCCAGGGCCAAGUGCAGAAGCUCAACAAAAAUAUUGAAAAAUGCACAUGUGGAUGCAAGCAAGAAAAGUAACAUUUUCUUAAA